CGACGAAGGCCCUAGCUUGCUAGGUGUCCUUAGUGGCGCACGGGUGAGUAACACGUGGGAACAUACCUCAUAGUACGGAAUAACUGCGGGAAACUGUAGCUAAUACCGUAUAUUCCAGUAAUGGGAAAGAUUUAUCGCUAUGAGAUUGGCCCGCGCAAGAUUAGCUUGUUGGUAAGGUAAUGGCUUACCAAGGCUCCGAUCUUUAGCUGGUUUGAGAGGACGACCAGCCACACUGGGACUGAGACACGGCCCAGACUCCUACGGGAGGCAGCGGUAGGGAAUAUUGGACAAUGGGGGAAACCCUGAUCCAGCAAUGCAGCGUGAGUGACGAAGGCCUUAGGGUUGUAAAGCUCUUUCAUCGGUGAGGAUAAUGACAGUAGCCGAAGAAGAAGGACCGGCUAAUUCCGUGCCAGCAGCCGCGGUAAUACGGAAGGUCCUAGCGUUGUUCGGAAUUACUGGGCGUAAAGCGCAUGUAGGCGGAACAAAAAGUUAGAAGUGAAAUCCCUGGGCUCAACCUAGGAAUGGCUUUUAAAACUUUUGUUCUGGAAUUCAGGAGAGGAAAAUGGAAUUUCCAGUGUAGAGGUGAAAUUCGUAGAUAUUGGAAGGAACACCAGUGGCGAAGGCGAUUUUCUGGACUGAUAUUGACGCUGAGAUGCGAAGGCAUGGGUAGCAAACGGGAUUAGAUACCCCGGUAGUCCAUGCAGUAAACGAUGGGUGCUAGUCGUCGGACUUUUGUUCGGUGUCGUAGCUAACGCGUUAAGCACCCCGCCUGGGGAGUACGGUCGCAAGAUUAAAACUCAAAUAAAUUGACGGGGACCCGCACAAGC
rnacentral:rRNA from 1 species